UGUCUGAUGGGGGAAGCAGCAGCAGCGGCUCGCUCGGCAUCAUGAAGGUCCCUGAAACUCUGCUAUGGGCCGCUCUUCUCGUCCACAAGGUGGUGGGAGAGUACGGCAUGGCCCACAUCAGCGACGAGGGCAGCAGCAAAGGAAAGGAUUACUGCAUAUUCUUCAACUCACAGUGGGCACGUCUACCUCAGGACCUUAAUAAGGCAUCGCGUCUACAGAUCCACGACCUGACAACAUCGGUCCUGUGCUCGGCCUCUGACGUCCCAGAGGAAGGAUUCCCUAAUCGCAUCCCCAUGGUGAUGCGGGGCAACUGCACUUUCUAUGAAAAGGUCCGGCUGGCCCAGAUAAACGGUGCCAAGGGUAUACUCAUCGUCAGCAAGGACCGACUGACACCACCAGCAGGAAACAAGACCCAGUAUGAGGAGAUUGACAUUCCGGUAGCAUUGCUCAGCUACUCUGACAUGCUCGACAUAAGCAAGAUGUUUGGUAAAGGGAGACUUGUGGCCAUGUAUGCGCCCAAUGAGCCGGUGCUGGACUACAACAUGGUGAUCAUCUUCUUGAUGGCUGUAGGAACAGUCGCCAUCGGAGGCUACUGGGCCGGCAGCAGAGACCGCAAGAAACGUUACAUGAAGCACAAGCGGGACGACGGCGCAGAGAAGCAGGACGAAGAGACGGUAGACGUCACCCCGAUCAUGAUCUGCGUGUUCGUGGUCAUGUGCUGCAGCAUGCUGGUGCUCCUCUACUUUUUCUACGACCGCCUGGCCAUCUGGGUGAUCGCCAUCUUCUGUGUGGCCUCCUCAGUCGGCCUCUACAGCUGCCUGUGGCCUUUUGUCAGGAGACUUCCUUUCUGCAAGUGCAGGAUCCCAGAGAACAACCUCCCGUACUUGCACAAGCGGCCACAGAUCCGCAUGUUGCUGCUGUCGGCCUUCUGCAUCGGAGUCAGCAUCACCUGGAUGGUGUUUCGCAAUGAAGACCAGUGGGCGUGGGUGUUACAGGACGCCCUGGGGAUCGCCUUCUGUCUCUACAUGCUCAAAACAGUCAGACUACCCACAUUCAAGGCUUGCACUUUACUACUGUCUGUCCUUUUCGUCUAUGAUGUUUUCUUCGUAUUUAUUACACCCUUAUUUACAAAGAGUGGGGAAAGUAUAAUGGUGGAGGUAGCGGCUGGUCCCUCCGACUCCUCUACUCAUGAAAAGCUCCCCAUGGUGCUCAAAGUGCCGAGGUUAAACUUCUCUCCCCUGGCUCUUUGUGACCGGCCCUUCUCUCUCCUGGGCUUUGGCGAUGUCUUAGUACCAGGUCUGUUGGUGGCGUACUGUCACAGGUUUGACAUUUUAACACAGUCCUCCAGGAUCUACUUUGUGUCCUGUACUAUCGCCUAUGGCAUUGGCCUGCUGAUCACCUUCGUGGCGCUCGCCGUGAUGCAGAUGGGUCAGCCCGCCCUGCUCUACCUGGUGCCUUGCACUCUGCUCACCAGCCUCAGUGUAGCGCUGUGGCGCAGGGAGUUGCCCCAGUUCUGGACUGGAAGUGGAUUUGUGGUGAAUACCAGUUUGAUAUGACUGCCUACUGCCGAAGAACAAAAAGACUUUAAAAAACAGAAAACAAACCCCCCCAAAAAAAGAAACCUAGUGUUAAAUAACAAGCAGAGUAAAGUGAAUUUCAACCGGCCAUAAUGCUCGCACCGAUCAACUGCACGCAAACUGCAGAGCCGCAGACAGAAGGACCCUCGACUAAACCGGAGCCGCAAACAUCAGAAUCUGCCGCUCAGAGCGAAGACACGCCCCAUCACCCGCCUCAGGAAACGCCCCCGCCUGAGAACGACGAAGACAAAGACAAAUCUAACUGAAAGGACUUCCAGUACGGCAUUUUCCACUUCAUUUCAUGUUUUAUUUGUUGUCGAUUUUUUUUUUCUACAUAGUAUUUCAGUCAGUGGACAUUUUAAGUACUUGCACUUGGUGUCAGGGGACGAGCAGAUGAGGUCAGUGGACAAACACACACGCACACACAGUCGAGGCAUUGAAACUGACAAACACACCAAGUAUAAAACCUGCACAGCAGCACCAAGACCCUCCUCUACUACAUAAUGUCCCAUCUGUAUCAGUGGUGGAACGUACAUUUACUCAAGUAGUCUUUUCACUUCAGUUGUAAUAUUUUCUACUUGAGGCAGAUAUUCAACUUUUGACUCCACUAUGUAGUUUAAAACUCUAAAAACAAGAGAGAUCUUAGGUUUGGAACCCUCGGACCAAACACGCUAACUUUCUAUGACGUAGAAAAUAUUUAGCAGCUAUUUUGAUGAUUCAGUUUCAGGGGAUUUAGCUUCACUUUUAAGGAGCUGUCAUGUUGUCCAUCUUUAUAAGUAAUAUAUGAAAUAAAAAGUGAUGGAAGUAGUUAUGUUACACACUGCAAUCGCCACCUGAAGUGAUUCAGGACAUUUUGUUAUAAAAACUGUUGGACACAGUCGGCUUAAAUCUGACGGCUGAAAAUGUUUUUAUGGAAACAUUUUCAAGCACUUCAUCAGAAAUGUACUGAUUAUUAUUAUUAUUGUUUUCUAAAUGAUUUCAGAAUUAAUACUUUGAUUUGUCUUUAUUCCUCUGAUACAUUAUAACCUGUCAGAAUAUAAAGCACAGCAGUGAUGACUGAAGACGCUCAUCACCUGUUUGAACGUGACCCCAUCUUGGUUGUUGACUGAGCCAAAAUGAUUCAAUAUCAUUGUUGAUGUUUUCACGUUUGUUUUUGUAUAUUUUUUGUUUUGCAUGUUAUGAUUUGACCUUUUUAUAAAAAGCAGUGUAUAAUCUGUAAUAUGGGCUUUGUAUGCAUUAUCGGGGGCGCCAAAUGUUGGCCACCGCGAUUUUUAUUCCCCGAGUAGUUCCUCCAACUGUCUUAAGAACUGGUUUUGGCCUUACAGUGUCCGUUAGGAGAGGUGGAAUGUGUAAAAGUUGCUUUAUGACAAACACGGGUGCUGUUCUCUAAACAAUGACGAGCGAGCGACAGGUUGUGUUACCAAUGUUCCUAGUUCAGUUCAAAAGAAGCAUUUGCACAAUAUUUUUUUAAUUUGUGUGCCGACAUAAGUUGUUGGUUUAUGUCUGUAAAUGAUGUUUAAAGAAAUGGAAACCAAGGUAUCAGUAAAUCUAAUAUUCAUCCUGAACACCAGAGCCCUGCAGCCGCUUCACCCUGUACACCGGUGUGUGAGAGUCGAGGGUUAAAGGCCAGAGGUCAGAUGGGAGCACCUUCGUGGUCGUUAGCCCUCGCUGUGUUUUUACAGGAUGAGAUUAUUCACUGGUACAGCUUGUUGUCACCAAGUGGUUUUUAAAGCCUCUGUUGAGGAAAACAUAUAAUAAACAAACAUUGUAUUUGA